AGAGAGAGAGAGAGAGAGAUAUAAUGAUAUGGAAAAAGACAGAGAGGAAGAGGGAUAAAAGAAAUGGCUCCUGGAAAAGAAAGGAUAAUUGAAUAAGGGUUGUCUGGUGAAAUAAUUCCAAUUGUUUUUAUGAAGUUGUGGCAUUAGUUGUUAGGUUAUGGAAAUAGCUCUGCCCUCCAUUAUUCAUUGGAAUAAGAGUGUAGUUUGUCCUAACAUGAAUUGGCUUUUUUUGUGUGUUGGGGGGUUAGAAAAAGAAGAGUUAUUAGGUGCAUCCGGUGCAUCUCACCAAUGCUUUAUGUCUAGCUUCUAUCAUGCUAUGAAUGUGUGCAAUAUUGUUUCCUAACCUGUAUUGUAUGAUUUUCUCUGCUCUCUUACCAAUUUAUUAUCUUGUAAUAGAUGUUUAGUAGUGCUUUGUAUAUGGCCCAAUAAUGUGCCUUUUUUAAUUUGUUUACUGUAGUCCAAAUCACAAUUUCCUUUUUUUUAUUUUUUAUUU
rnacentral:misc_RNA from 1 species